rnacentral:rRNA from 1 species
UACAGAGGUCUCAAGCGUUGUUCGGAUUCAUUGGGCGUAAAGGGUGCGCAGGCGGCGAGGCAAGUCGGACGUGAAAUCUCGGGGCUUAACCCCGAAACUGCGUUCGAUACUGCCUUGCUUGAGGACUGGAGAGGAGACUGGAAUUCCUGGUGUAGCAGUGAAAUGCGUAGAUAUCAGGAGGAACGCCAAUGGCGAAGGCAAGUCUCUGGACAGUUCCUGACGCUCAUGCACGAAGGCCAGGGGAGCAAACGGG